rnacentral:lncRNA from 1 species
UAUCUCUGGAACAGUCCCCAAACGUCUUGCCAAGGGCACAGGUUUUCAGCUUUAAAGGCCAUUUCAAUUUAAGAAAACAAAAGAUGAUCCUGUGAACACUGUAUCAGGCAUCAUUACUGGACUGAAAAAAGGAUCACUUGAUGGACGUGCCUGGCAUUUUCUUUAGAAGUAUUUCUUCUCUGGCCUUAGAAGAUUCGUUUUCAAAGCGAUGGUAAAAUCAUUGAUGUACGUCUUUUCAAGAAAAAGGAAAAAAAAAAGACUCCUAAAUGCCAAACAUUUGCUCUUUGGAGCAUAGCAAGAAGAAAGGGAGAGGACCAGACGGCCACAUCCUAAGAACAGAGUAUUGUCCAGGUAGCUGUCACCCCAAAUGGGAUCUCUUUCCAGGUCUUUUUGUUAAAGUUUUUCUUUCCUAAAUAAAACUUAAUUUUCUCUCGCUAA